GGGUUUUAGGCUGGGUUUCUGUACAGCACUUUGAGAUAUCAGCUGAUGUACGAAGGGCUAUAUAAAUCAAUUUGAUUUGAUUUGAUUAUUCAUGAACAAAACACUGUGUGUAUUGUACUUAAAAGAAUCAAACUUUUCUGAAGACAGAAAAAGCGUGCCUACCUCUCUCAGUGCAUCAACAUGAUUUGAGCACGAGCACGCAGGGAAAAAUGUAAGUACACACUCCCCUUCUCUCAGGAUGCAGGCAUGCAUAAUAACAAAUCAACACGACAUAUUAAUAUAUGAACCUGGUGAAAUUCACAUAGUACUUUAACAACUGUUACAUUCAACCCUCCUGAAUUUCACCAACCUUGUAAAACAACAAAAUAACCUACCAAGCUCAAUUCUUAAUUCUGAAUUCAGCUUCAAAGCUACCCAUAGGGUUCAGGGCAAGUGAAAGUUGGCCAGGCCUUCAACUGCCCCUAGAUGCAUAGUUCCUCUUACACUAUACCUACCUUCUUAGCCUUAAAAAAAAGUAAUUCUGUACUAAAUCAUCUCUCUGUACUAUGUUAAACUUACACCUUCUGGUGGAUUGACUCUAUUAGUCUCUUGACUGGUUUAACUACCCUCCCCGCCCUUGUGCGACCUGCCACUGGGCUAGGGGCCAUGGUGACUAACAGUGGCUCUGGCCUUAGAUCAUUGAUCAGAGGUGGGUUUGAAGGAAUCAGCUCCAGAAUCUCAGAGGUGCUUCCCAGGUCAUUUUCCUCAAGCAAACAAGGUUCUUCUGGCUCUGACUUUCCAGCCGAUGUCCAGAGCUCGGAGUAAUCGCUUGAAUCCUCUGCCAGCCAAGAUGCACUUUCCUCCCCAGAGUCUUCCAUGUCUUCCCUGUCCAGUCCAUCGCCAGAGUGGGUGACCUCUCCUGCAUCUACAUUGAUUGAUGGCCCUGCAGCAUCACUGUCAUUGAAGUGCACUGAAUCAUCCAUUUCAAAUGGCAGGAAAUUCACCUGCAGCAGUAGAUUCCUGUGAACCACUUUCUCUCUGCCGUAACGGUCUUGGAUUAUGUAUGUGUGAGUUUGUGGAUUGACUGAAGUCACUGUGAAAAUCUCGGGGUUCCACUUGUCAGCCAACUUGCGGCGGCCCCUUUCACCCUUGUUUGCGAUGAGGACACGAUCCCCCAUGGACAAACUGAUGCCUUUAACCCGCUUGUCAUACUCCCGACCUUGUCGUCUCUGUUGCUUGUCAGUGUGCCUUUGGGCAACAGUCAUAGCUUCCUUCAGCCCAGUGAUCAGAGUCUCGACAUACUUGUUGCAAUCCACAACACUGGAGUCGUCCAAAACAUUGAGGAACAUAACAUCCACUGGUAGCCGAGGGACUCUACCAAACAUGAGAAAGAAUGGAGCAUAGCCCGUAGUCUUGUGAACAGUGGCAUUGUAGGCAAAUGUUAAUGACUGGAUUUGUUCAGGCCAAUGUUCUUUGGUUUUCAAGGGCAGACUCCUGAGCAUGCUACCUAAAGUCCUGUUGAAGCGUUCAAUUUCUCCAUUCCCCAUUGGGUGAUAUGCUGUGGUUCUUGACUUUUGGACACCGGAGAGCUUAAGCAGUUCUGCUAUUAGCUCACUCUCAAAAUUUGCGCCCUGAUCAGUAUGGAUCCUUGAUGCAAAUCCGUAGACACAGAAGACAUGAUCCCACAGUUUACGAGCUACUUGCUUGGCUGUCUGGUUUCUGCAUGGCCAUGCAUGGGCAAGUUUAGUGAAGUGGUCAGUCACCACCAGAACAUACUGAGUUCUUCUUACUGUCUUCCGCUGUCCAAAACUCCAAACACACCAACUCCAUGGGAGAGCAAGUUUUGAUGCUCUCUAACGGGGCUCUAGCCGCUGGCUCUGGAGUCUUUGCUAGAACGCAUCUCUGGCAGCAGCGCACAUACUCCUUGAUGUCUCUCUCCAUUGCAGGCCAGAAAAAUCUCUUGAUGAGGAAGGGGAUGAGCGUCCUUCACCGUUCGUGCAUUCAUCCACCUGAAGUCAGUGCAUAACCUCAGACUCCCGUCUUUCUUACAUACCAUGACGAAAGGGGAGACAUACUCACUAACCGACUUGUGUAUAAGACCUACUUCUUCCAUGUCUGUCAAUACCUUCCUCAGCUUCAGGUAUUGAGCAAGCGGGACUCUUCUGUAUGGUAGCCGGAAGGGUCUGUCAUCAACCAGGUGGAUACGGUGAACAUAACCCCUGGCUUCUCCGCAGUCCAGAUUAUGUCUUGAGAAGAUGUCUUCAUAUUUUGUGAUGGUAUUCACAAGCUUCUCCUUCCACUGGUCAGUUACCUGGCAUCCAUCAAUGUCAAUGUCUACUAAUCCUAGAUCAGACCGUCUUUGUUUCAGAUUGUGGCAGCCAUUGUCAUCCUGCCUCUGUUCCAUUGGGGUUUUCCUCACUUCAUGAAGGCCCUGAAAGAUUGUUGCAUCCUCGACAGCCAAGCAUGUAGACACAUCGGCCAACUUCAUGUUACGUCUUAGGGUGAGAUGUUUGUCAGAACAGUUUACUACCUUUAAAGGGACCCAGCCAUCUCCCCACAUGGGUGUAAUAACUCUACCCACGAGUAUGUUUCUGGGCAUGACCUUUGACCUGGUAGGUUCGACUAUUACAGUGCUGCCUGGAGACAAUGCCACAUUUUUAGGAAGUUUACCCCAAACUAAGUGUUCAGUCUUGGGCGAAAGAGUCACAGCUUGAGUGAGCUUCACUGUCCCAAUCUUGCCAUUGACUUGCUGUCCCUUCCAUACCGACACUUGUCAUCAUCUGCAGAAACUGCUCACCCUCUGGUGAGUGGGUCUGGCCAUCCAUGUUGUUGACAAGCUUCCAGUAUUCAUCAGUGCCUUUCAUCUCAUGCAAUAGAUGCUUAAUGACGUUCGAUCCCAGGAUGAGAUCAUCACGCUGUCCAGGAACAACUAGGGUGGGCACUUUAACAUCAAUCCCAUAGAUUUGCAUCUCCAAAUCAUAGAAACACUUUGUUGAGGUCUUCUUCCCCCUACACCCCACUAAUACUAACUCUGUGGGAGGCUGUUAAUGCUGAGGAAGGGCACCUGCUUCCAAAAGUCUCUGCUCCGCAUGUUCACUCAAUGUACAGGCCAUAGACCCAGUGUCAAGCAUGCCCUUAAGCUGUACUUUCCCAUGUACAGACACAGAGGUGUAAAACAAAUCUGAAAAAGCCUCAACCUCUUGUGAACCUAACAUAACAAUUUUCUCUCCUUCUUUCGCAUCAGAGCACAAAAUCUCAUACGUUUUCUCGAGAUCAUCAAAUUCUUUCUUGGGGGUAGACAGUUGAACACCCACAUUCCCCCCCUUCACCUGUGGGUGUGUCAGUUUUAAUGGUUGCUGCUGUGGUGGUGAGUUUCUCUGCUGUUGUGGUGGGCGUCUCUAACCACCGGGAUUGGCAUAGCGUUCCCACGGUUUUGGACAAUUUGACUUCCAAUGAUCUGCGGAAAAGCACCAGAGGCACAGGUUCUCAUGUCUACAGUGCAUCACAGUGGAGUGAUCUGUUGAGCCACAAACCCUGCAUUCCCUACGCCUGAAGGGUUGGGCGGUUAAAGAUGUUGCCUUGGCCUGUGAAACCAUAACGGGUGGUAUGCUCUUCUCUAAGGUACGUUCAAGCAGGUGAAUGAGUCUCUCGAUACUUGCACUCUGCCCAUCUUGUUUGGCGCUUGAUGUGAGAGAAGUGUCACUGCACGCACCAGCAUCGGCCCCGCCUUCACACGGAGUUAUCUGGGGAUGUACUGUUACUUGCUUUGAGGAUACAGAGGUAGAUUGACACAUGGUGGCCUUCCUGCGGCGUUUAUGUUUGUUUAUUCAUGAACAAAACACUGUGUUUGACUUUGUACUUAAAAGAAUCAAACUUUUCUGAAGACAGAAAAAGCGUGCCUACCUCUCUCAGUGCAUCAAAAUGAUUUGAGCACGAGCACGAGCACGCAGGGCAAAACGUAAGUACACACUCCCCUUCUCCCAGGAUGCAGGUAUGCAUAAUAACAAAUCAACACGACAUAUUAAUAUAUGAACCUGGUGAAAUUCACAUAGUACUUUAACAACUGUUACACCAGGACCUAUGGUUAGUAGACCGACAACGUCGAGCCCCGGAGGGGGGGAUCGGGAGUAGACGUGACAGUAAACCCCCCCACCCCCCGAUGCGCAGCUCCAGCAAUAGGACGACUCUGGCCAGGAGGACGGCCCUGAGGGCGAGGAUCGGGCCGGUCUGGACGGCGAAGGUGGAAUUCUCAGAUGACGUUGUGGGGAUCUAGAAUAUCAUCCACCGGAACCCAACACCACUCCUCUGGACCGUACCCCUUCCAGUAAACCAGGUACUCUCAAGGUGCAUUAAAAUGACGAGAGCCAUAGGGAGGAAAACAUACAUUCUGACAAGCGGUCAAUGCACAACAAUUCAGAUGGUUUUCACCAGAACCGGCAGCCCGGCAGCCCGGCUCUUCACUACAAACGAUUGGCCGCUUAGUGGGCAUACACAUGAACCUAUUCAAGUUAGUAAAUACAUUUUGAAAUGACUUGUAUUAUUAGCUAGCUAGCUAGCUGUGUGUAAAUUAAUGAGCUGCUAGCCCUUGAUCAUGAAUCUCAGUUCCAUUACAUUUACACAUAAUGUAAGUCAUUGAACUAAGUCCUCUUAUAUGUCCCAACGUGCCCCAACCUGCAGUCUGAACAUUGACACGCAUCUCUUGUGGUACGGUUUUGGAAGCAUUAGGACAUUUUCUUUAAUACCAGCUAUGAAUAAUAAUAAGAAAUAGUUACAUUUAUAUACACCUUUACAGGGUUAGUGUUCCCACACAGCCAUAUCGCCAUGUUACAGCUCGUGUUUACAGUAAACAGACAGAAGACACAGUCAACUACCUGUGCUAAUUACUUGAUUCUGUGACUCCAAAUUUGUGGCAACAGUUUGGGGAAGGCCCCACCACAAACGUGUUGUCAUUGAAAAAUACUGUCGGCUGCAACUGUGUUAAAACAGUGUACAGUAAGUGGGUAUUUUGCAUUUAUGAAAUUAUUUUCUUGUGAUAUGAAAGUAAAGGGAUUCAUGUUUUUAGCAGUUGAGAAUUGAUUCACGUUCAGGAGGAAUAAUGGUCUGGGGCUGUAUUUCAAGGUUUGGGCUAGGCCCCUUAGUUCCAGUGAAGGGAAAUCUUAACAAUACAGCAUACAAUGAAAUUUGAGACGAUUCUGUGCUUCCAACUUUGUGGCAACAGUUUGGGGAAGGCCCUUUCCUGUUUCAGCAUGGCAAAUUGAGGUCCAUGGUAUGUCAAGAUCGGUGAGGAAGAACAUGACUGGCCUACAUAGACCCCUGACUGGAACCCCAUUCUAACACCUUUGGGAUGAAUUGUAAUGCCGACUGUGAGCCAGGCCUAAUCGACCAACAUUAGUUCCCAACCUCACUAAUAGUCUCGUUUGUGGCUGGAGGCAAGUCCCCACAGCAAUGUUCCAACAUCUAGUGGAGAGCUUCCCCAGAAGAGUGGAGGCUGUUACAAAAGUAAAGGUGGGACCAACUCCAUAUUAAUGUCCAUGAUUUUGGAAUGUGAUGUUCGACAAGCAGGUGUCCACACACUUUUGUAGUGUACCUCUCCAUAUAGUCUACCUCGCCAUGUAGUGUACCUCCCAUCUUUACAACCAUUGAAUCUAUAUGUUUUGACCAUGACAAUUUACAAUCUAAGGUAACACAAAGUAAUUCAGUCUCCUCAACUGUUCAACAGCCACACCAUUGGCAGAUUCAGCUGAAGUCUAGAGCUUAUGGAAUGAUUUGUACCAAAUACAAUGCUCCUAGCUUUUGAGAUGUUCAGAACCAAUUUAUUACUGGUCACCCAUUCCAAAACAGACUGCAACUCCUUGUUAAGGGUUUCAGUGACUUCAUUAGCAUACAUGGACACACAGGCUUUGUUUAAUGCUAGUGGCAGGUCAUUGGUAAAAAUAGAGGGCUUAAAGAGCUGUCCUGCGGUACACUAUUAAAGAAAACCCUCUGAGUUCUAUUAGAUAGAUAGCUCUGAAUCCACAAUAUGGAAGAUGGUUUUGUGAUUAAUAAGCCAUCUGAUUCAAUGAAAGAUGGAGUUGAAUUUGUCUUUCUGCCCAUAAUUUCAUUUAAAGUACUCCAAAGUUUUUUUAUAUCAUUGAUCUUGGCUUCAUAAUACAGCUUCUUCUUUUUGCUGAGUUUAGUCACAUAAUUUGUCAAUUUACACUAAGGGGAUAGUGCAUAGGUGCGGGGUUAGAUGGUGCAAUUUAAGAUUAUCUCAUUCCCCUUUUCUGUGGAGGUUGACCAAAAUGUGCAAUCCGUUUUUCUUAAUCUAUCAGGAAUCCUUGUAUUUUUGUAUUUGACAAUAUGAUACAUUUUGCCUAUCCCUACUCCCCCUCAACACUCAUUCUAAUGUUAUAUCUCUCAACUGCAUUUUUCAAUUCAUGAUUCUCUUUUUUUGCAGGAAUCUUCUAGCUUGGAUGGAAGGAUGGAGGAGGGAACAAAGGGAAGGAGUACAGAAGUUAUUCAACCUGCUGACUAAGAAAUUUCCUAAAACAUGUCAAUGUCCUGAUGCAUGGCCUUUACAGCAGUGCCUGGCCACCCACUUGGUUACCAGUGACCUAUUCUGCUACAUCCUAGGAUCUCACUGAGACUGGAUUCCCAAAAGACAUGCUAUUCAGCUCCCCAUGAUUGCCUGAUCUUAGUGCAAAUAUCCAACAAGGAGGCGUCUUGCAGUGUGUGAAUUGUCUCAAAUAAAAAAUAAAGGUAACUUGACUCUUAA